rnacentral:rRNA from 1 species
UACGUAGGGGGCAAGCGUUGUCCGGAUUUAUUGGGCGUAAAGAGCGUGUAGGCGGCCACUUAAGUCCUGCGUGAAAUCUUGCGGCUCAACCGCAAGCGGUCGUGGGAAACUGGGUGGCUAGAGUGCGGGAGAGGAGAGUGGAAUUCCUGGUGUAGCGGUGGAAUGCGCAGAUAUCAGGAAGAACACCCGUGGCGAAGGCGGCUCUCUGGAACGCAACUGACGCUGAGACGCGAAAGCGUGGGGAGCAAACGGG